rnacentral:tRNA from 1 species
GGAAGUAUAGCUCAGUAGUAGAGCACAUGCUUAGCACAUAGGAGGUCCUGGGUUCAAUCCCUAGUACCUCCA